rnacentral:rRNA from 1 species
UACGUAGGGGGCAAGCGUUGUCCGGAUUUAUUGGGCGUAAAGAGCGUGUAGGCGGCCAUACAGGUCAGCUGUGAAAACUCGAGGCUCAACCUCGAGACGUCGGUUGAAACCGUAUGGCUAGAGUCCGGAAGAGGAGAGUGGAAUUCCUGGUGUAGCGGUGAAAUGCGCAGAUAUCAGGAGGAACACCCGUGGCGAAAGCGGCUCUCUGGGACGGUACUGACGCUGAGACGCGAAAGCGUGGGGAGCAAACAGG